rnacentral:rRNA from 1 species
UUAAAUUGAGAGUUUGAUCCUGGCUCAGGAUGAACGCUGGCGGCGUGCUUAACACAUGCAAGUCGAGCGAUGAAGUUUCCUUCGGGAAACGGAUUAGCGGCGGACGGGUGAGUAACACGUGGGUAACCUGCCUCAUAGAGUGGAAUAGCCUUCCGAAAGGAAGAUUAAUACCGCAUAAUGUUGAAAGAUGGCAUCAUCAUUUAACCAAAGGAGCAAUCCGCUAUGAGAUGGACCCGCGGCGCAUUAGCUAGUUGGUGGGGUAACGGCCUACCAAGGCGACGAUGCGUAGCCGACCUGAGAGGGUGAUCGGCCACAUUGGGACUGAGACACGGCCCAGACUCCUACGGGAGGCAGCAGUGGGGAAUAUUGCACAAUGGGGGAAACCCUGAUGCAGCAACGCCGCGUGAGUGAUGAAGGUUUUCGGAUCGUAA